GCCAGCAUGGUGUAAUGGUUUGAGCACUGGACUAUAACUUCAGAAAUGAGGGUUCAAGUCUCCGCUUGGCC